AUUGAACGCUGGCGGCAGGCAUAACACAUGCAAGUCGAAAGAGUGGCGGACGGGUGAGUAAUGGCUGGGAAAUUGCCUGAUGGAGGGGGAUAAAUACUGGAAACGGGAGGUAAUACAGCAUAACAUCAGAUGUGCCAAGAUGGGAUUAGCUGGGUGGUGGGGUAACGGCUCCAAAAGGCGACGCUCCCUAGCUGGGCUGAGAGGAUGACCAGCAAAACUGGAACUGAUACACGGUCCAGACUCCUCCGGUAGGCAGCAGGGGGGAAUAUUGCACAAUGGGCGCAAGCCUGAUGCAGCCAUGCCGAGUGUAUGAAGAAGGCCGUCGGGUUGUAAAGUACUUUCAGCGGGGAGGCGUUACCCGCAGAAGAAGCACCGGCUAACUCCGGGCCAGCAGCCGCGGUAAUUC
rnacentral:rRNA from 1 species